rnacentral:rRNA from 1 species
CCUACGGCGGCAGCAGUGGGGAAUAUUGGACAAUGGGCGAAAGCCUGAUCCAGCCAUGCCGCGUGUGUGAAGAAGGCCUUCGGGUUGUAAAGCACUUUCAGUGGGGAAGAAAGCCUUGGGGCUAAUACCCUCGAGGAAGGACAUCACCCACAGAAGAAGCACCGGCUAACUCCGUGCCAGCAGCCGCGGUAAUACGGAGGGUGCGAGCGUUAAUCGGAAUUACUGGGCGUAAAGCGCGCGUAGGCGGUCUGAUAAGCCGGUUGUGAAAGCCCCGGGCUCAACCUGGGAACGGCAUCCGGAACUGUCAGGCUAGAGUGCAGGAGAGGAAGGUAGAAUUCCCGGUGUAGCGGUGAAAUGCGUAGAGAUCGGGAGGAAUACCAGUGGCGAAGGCGGUCUUCUGGACUGACACUGACGCUGAGGUGCGAAAGCGUGGGUAGCAAACAGGAUUAGAUACCCCAGUAGUC